rnacentral:rRNA from 1 species
GACGAACGCUGGCGGCGUGCUUAACACAUGCAAGUCGAACGGACAGGCCCUGCUUUUGUGGGGCGCUCGAUAGGCGAACGGGUGUGUAACACGCGAGUAUACUGCCCUUGUCUUUCGGAUAUCUCUACGAAACAGGGGCUCUUACCGGAUAUGAUCUCCUGCUGCAUGUGGUGGGUUGGUGAGUUUCGGCGGUUGGGGAUGGUCUCGCGGCUUAUCAGCUUGUUGGUGGGGUAGUGGCUUACCAAGGCUGCGACGGAUAGCCGGCAUGAGAGAGUGAACGGCCACAUGGGGACUACGAGACGCACCAGACUGCUACGGGAGGCAGCAGUGGAGAGUAUUGCGCAACGGGCGCAAGUCAGUGGCGGAGACGCCGCGAUCGGGAUAAUGGCCUACGGGUUGUAAACCGAUUUGUAAUGUGCUGUGGAGUGAGUGACGGUAAUGGGUAAGAAAGCAACGGCUAACUACGUG